rnacentral:misc_RNA from 1 species
CAAAUGAAUGCUAUUAUGAAAUAGUUGAACAAAAAGUUCUUUGAUAUUUAAUAUGCAUAUAACAUAUGGUACUAGAGUCAUCUCCAUGCUGAGGUCUCAAGUUUAAAUCUUAGUUGGCGCCAAAUGAACUAAAAUAAGGGGUCAUCAAUCAUCUUUGACCCCAUAUAUGGGUUUCAGCGUUCAUAAAAAAAAGGUAAUUAAGACCUAGGUUCUGUACGAAUAGAUCAUGCGAAAAGAAAAAGUACAUAGAUCAUGUUCAACUGUGUAUUAUGUUGAUCAUGCUCAAUUGUUAUUAUGCUCUUAAAAGGAGGCAUGUAGCUUUGGUGAAAUGAUUGGCUUUAAAUUUGAUUCGUGAAUUUGAAGAUUGUUCCUUGAAGAUUUAUUACAUAAACAUUGCUCAUUGUUUGAAAGCUGAGUUUGAGAUCAAGAUAUUUAUCAUUGAUUCCAUUUCCUCAGGAGGAUCAAAGCCGAAUUUG